rnacentral:lncRNA from 1 species
CGCCAGUGUUAAAUUCAGUUAACUAAAGUUCAGUUAAGCUUCAGUUAAUUAAAGUUCACUUUUAAAGUUUUAGAUUCAGCUUUUAAAGUUUAAGUUCAGGUUAGAUUCAGAUUUUUAAAGUUUAUGUUCAGGUUAGAUUCAGCUUUUAAAGUUUAAGUUCAGGUUAGAUUCAGAUUUUAAAGUUCAGGUUAGAUUUUAAAGUUCAGGUUUAAGAAAUAGAGAGAGAUAGAAGAGAGAGAUAGAGAGAUUGAGAGGAGAGAAGAAAGAUUGAGAUGUCAAGAUACAGUUUUAAGUUCAGUCAGAUUCAGGUUUAGAUUUUGAUUUACAUAAGUUCAAACUUAG